GACGGAGGAUGCAAGCGUUAUCCGGAAUGAUUGGGCGUAAAGCGUCCGCAGGUGGCAGUUCAAGUCUGCUGUCAAAGACCGGGGCUUAACUUCGGAAAGGCAGUGGAAACUGAACAGCUAGAGUAUGGUAGGGGCAGAGGGAAUUCCUGGUGUAGCGGUGAAAUGCGUAGAGAUCAGGAGGAACACCAAUUGCGAAGGCAGCUCGCUGGGACGUUACUGACGCUGAGACGCGAAAGCGUGGGGAGCAAACAGG
rnacentral:rRNA from 1 species